GGUAACGCGAGAUAUUAGUGCGGUUCAAUCAAAUAGUCGUACUCUUAGCUAUUAGAGAUCGGUUUUGUUCGAUUGAGCCGUGCCAAUAUCACGCAUAAAACC
rfam:Brassica napus, WGS project CCCW01000000 data, contig: 14527